rfam:Microbulbifer thermotolerans strain DAT221, complete genome.
CUUGCCCUGGGGUGUUGGCCAGUUGACUAUGUCCUCGAGCCGAUAAUCUUGCCCAGGUGGUUUCCAGCGGAUGCUGGUGUGCAGGUCCGCCACGUAGCGGAAAGCCUAAUGUAUCCCGGACACCACCACCUUGAACUUCACGGUUCAAGGCCACGUCUUCAGCCGCACACUCGGGGUUCCC